rnacentral:rRNA from 1 species
CCUACGGGUGGCAGCAGUGGGGAAUAUUGGACAAUGGGCGAAAGCCUGAUCCAGCCAUGCCGCGUGUGUGAAGAAGGCCUUCGGGUUGUAAAGCACUUUCAGUGGGGAAGAAAGCCUUGGGGCUAAUACCCUCGAGGAAGGACAUCACCCACAGAAGAAGCACCGGCUAACUCCGUGCCAGCAGCCGCGGUAAUACGGAGGGUGCGAGCGUUAAUCGGAAUUACUGGGCGUAAAGCGCGCGUAGGCGGUCUGAUAAGCCGGUUGUGAAAGCCCCGGGCUCAACCUGGGAACGGCAUCCGGAACUGUCAGGCUAGAGUGCAGGAGAGGAAGGUAGAAUUCCCGGUGUAGCGGUGAAAUGCGUAGAGAUCGGGAGGAAUACCUGUGGCGAAGGCGGCCUUCUGGACUGACACUGACGCUGAGGUGCGAAAGCGUGGGUAGCAAACAGGAUUAGAUACCCCUGUAGUC